AUCCGGCUUCUCUGCUAGAAAGAGGAUUGCUAGGAUCUGCUUGGAUAAUUAUGUGAGCCCGCCACGUCAGCCCACCUCAAUCCAAUGGCUGUCAAACCGACAGCAAAUAUGAAUAAGAAAAAAAGCCUUGGGACGAGAUGGAGACCUGCCUUCAAUCUCUCUUGAUUUCCCAGUUCAGAAUCGCCUCCUCCAUCAUCCUCAGGUUGUAGGUCUCCUAUAACAACCCCAACUCUCUUCUCUUCUUUUUGUUUUUUAAUCUCUUAAAUUUGGGAGUUUAUUGUUGGGGUUUGAUCAGGUGCUUCAAGAUUCAACCAACUACGGUGGUGGCUUGAAUGGAGUUGCCCACAUUCAAGAGGCCGUGCUGCUCAAGCAGAUGGAGUCUUUGCAAAAGCUCUUGCUUUCCAUGAACAACACCAUCUGAGUUAGACCGGGUUUGUGCACUUGCCGGGAAGUUCUUGGGCAGCCCAAUUUCGUUGAUAUUCAUGAAAUUGUUCCCUGAUAUUCAUAACACAAGACUCUGGCUGGAUUUCAAUGGCGGUGGCCAUGGCCCUUGAAGAACAGGGCCGGCGUGUUAAUAAGAGAAACCAUAAUUUGAGACAAAAUCAAGGGAAGAAUAGGGCCGGCAAGAACUGUUCCCUGAUAUUCAUAACACAAGACUAUUACUGUCACAAUUACAAUGCAAAGAACAUAGAAGGUCGUAUUUUCUCCCUCAUAUUAUUGCUUAAGCUCACUCUCAAGUCACUGAAAGUUUGAAACGCUUCUUUUCUUCUUGUUGAGAUCUUCUUUGGCUAUUUGCAAAGUUUUAUUCGAAUUUUGGAGAUCAGAGUUCGGGAAGUGAAGUGAAGAAUGGGAAGGUGCUGCUCGGAUCCGGACGAUGCACUGUUGCUGGGGCUGGUGCUGGCCAUUGUGUUAGCAAUGGUUUUCUUUGUGAUAUGUCAACCUCCUCAAAGGAGGGUUGCUGUUUACCAUUGUUAUUAAAUGCUUCCUUCUUCAAAAUGUGUUUCAUUUCCCAUCAAUAUGUUCAUUUUCAGUCUUAUAUUUGCCAACUCUUUAAUUGAGAGCGAUGGCAGGCAAGAGCCAAAUUUUUGCUGUUA